rnacentral:rRNA from 1 species
GUCAAACUUUAGUAGUGAGAAAUUAUUAGCGGAUAAACACCCGAGUAGCAUUACGUGUGGUGAAAUAUAAAAAUAAACACCUCUGUCCGUGUGUCUUAGUAAUGAAACACUGCUACUAAACAGGGAUUAGAGACCCCUUUAUACUAGUGCUCAUUUCAUCCCGCGGAGUACUAAAACUAACAGAGUUAAAACUUAAGCAACAUGGCGGUAAUUUCAAUUUAGGGGAACUUACCUGAUAAAUGAUAACCACCAAGGUUAAACAACUGUGAAAAAUUCUUGUAUGCCGUCGUCGUCAGGCGACACUUGAGGUCCCGCCGUGAUAGCUACCUUAAAAGACAGAUCAAGGUGCAGACGAUUUCGCAGCCAUGGCGAGUUACAAUUUCAGUUAAUAACGGAUAGACGAUGUAAUACACAUUGAAGGGGGACUUAACAGUAAUAAUAACUAUCAUUAGUUUAUGA